rnacentral:misc_RNA from 1 species
UGGCUCUCGCAUCGAUGAAGAACGCAGCGAAAUGCGAUAAGUAAUGUGAAUUGCAGAAUUCAGUGAAUCAUCGAAUCUUUGAACGCAUCUUGCGCUCCUUGGUAUUCUGAGGAGCAUGCCUGUUUGAGUGUCAUGAUAUUCUCAAUUCCUUCAGUUCUUGCUGAAGUGACAUUGGAUUUGGAGGCUAUUGCAGGAAUCCUUCUGGAUGCCAGCUCCUCUCAAUUGCAUUAGUGUGAAUGUCCACUUCAUGCUCAGUGUGAUAAUUAUCUGCAUUGUGCUUGAGUGAUACAGCUUCAUGCUUCGAACUGUCGCAAGACAUUUCAUUGACUUCUGACCUCAAAUCAGGUAGGAUUACCCGCUGA